GACGAACGCUGGCGGCGUGCUUAACACAUGCAAGUCGAACGGAAAGGCCCUGCUUGCAGGGUACUCGAGUGGCGAACGGGUGAGUAACACGUGGGUGAUCUGCCCUGCACUUCGGGAUAAGCCUGGGAAACUGGGUCUAAUACCGGAUAGGAGCCAUUUUUAGUGUGAUGGUUGGAAAGUUUUUUCGGUGUAGGAUGAGCUCGUGGCCUAUCAGCUUGUUGGUGGGGUAAUGGCCUACCAAGGCGGCGACGGGUAGCCGGCCUGAGAGGGUGGACGGCCACAUUGGGACUGAGAUACGGCCCAGACGCCUACGGGAGGCAGCAGUGGGGAAUAUUGCACAAUGGGCGCAAGCCUGAUGCAGCGACGCCGCGUGGGGGAUGACGGCCUUCGGGUUGUAAACUCCUUUCGCUAGGGACGAAGCUUUUUGUGACGGUACCUAGAUAAGAAGCACCGGCUAACUACGUG
rnacentral:rRNA from 1 species